CCUACGGGGGGCAGCAGUGAGGAAUAUUGGUCAAUGGACGAGAGUCUGAACCAGCCAAGUAGCGUGAAGGAUGACUGCCCUAUGGGUUGUAAACUUCUUUUAUAUGGGAAUAAAACAGGGUAUGCAUACCCUCUUGUAUGUACCAUAUGAAUAAGGAUCGGCUAACUCCGUGCCAGCAGCCGCGGUAAUACGGAGGAUCCGAGCGUUAUCCGGAUUUAUUGGGUUUAAAGGGAGCGUAGGUGGAUUGUUAAGGCAGUUGUGAAAGUUUGCGGCUCAACCGUAAAAUUGCAGUUGAAACUGGCAGUCUUGAGUACAGUAGAGGUGUGCGGAAUUCGUGGUGUAGCGGUGAAAUGCUUAGAUAUCACGAAGAACUCCGAUUGCGAAGGCAGCUUACUGGAGUGCAACUGACACUGAUGCUCGAAAGUGUGGGUAUCAAACAGGAUUAGAUACCCGAGUAGUC
rnacentral:rRNA from 1 species